CCAUGAUUAGAAUGAUAAAUAGGGAAAUUGGUCAGUGAAGCAUUAGGAUAAGUUGAUAACCAGAAAGUAUUAGUUGUUACUUUAUCAGCGGCGUAACUGUGUAGUAGGCUCUCUGGGCUAUAGCUCAACCCAAAUUUGGGCCAAAAAACCCUUAAGUAUGGAUAUAUCGUAUCUCUAAGUCCAGAGUAGCCCACAGAAAAAGAAAAAAAAUAAUAAAAAUAAAAAAAGAGAUAAACUCUUAUCUACGCGACUUCACUCCUCACUCCUCAGUCUCUCAGCCAUGAAGUCUCAUGAGUCUCAUCUGAAAUUUCAUGAACCUGAUCCUCAAUUCCUCACCCAGGUUUCAAAUUUCAACCCAAUAUGAGUAUUAGAUUCUGACUCAAACUCUCCAAGUCUCCAUACUCCAAUCUGAGUGCACGGAUAAACUCUUCGAACAGGAGAGCGGAAGCCGGAACUCUUGAAGAUGAGCGGUGACAGUAUCUGUAUCGCCGUAUUCCUGUAUCGGUCUUUGAAAUUGCUCCAUUGCUUGUUGCUGCUUGUAUCGCUCGUUUGCAUCAGUGAUUCGAUGUAUUGGUCUUUGUUUGAUAGUUAGGCUAGUGCAGCGCUACUCUUGAAGUCUUUA